AGGAAAAGAAACCAACAGGGAUUGCCCUAGUAACGGCGAGUGAAGCGGCAACAGCUCAAAUUUGAAAUCUGGCGCAAGCCCGAGUUGUAAUUUGUAGAGGAUGCUUCUGGGCAGCGGCCGGUCUAAGUUCCUUGGAACAGGACGUCACAGAGGGUGAGAAUCCCGUACGUGACCGGCGCGCACCCUCCACGUAGCUCCUUCGACGAGUCGAGUUGUUUGGGAAUGCAGCUCUAAAUGGGAGGUAAAUUUCUUCUAAAGCUAAAUACCGGCCAGAGACCGAUAGCGCACAAGUAGAGUGAUCGAAAGAUGAAAAGCACUUUGGAAAGAGAGUUAAAAAGCACGUGAAAUUGUUGAAAGGGAAGCGCUUGCAACCAGACUCCGCGGCGGUGUUCCGCCGGUCUUCUGACCGGUCCACUCGCCGCCGCGGGGCCAACAUCGUCUGGGGCCGCCGGAUAAGACCGCAGGAAUGUGGCUCCCUCGGGAGUGUUAUAGCCUGCGGUGAUGCGGCGCGCCUCGGGCGAGGUCCGCGCUUCGGCAAGGAUGUUGGCGUAAUGGUUGCCAGCGGCCCGUCUUGAAACACGGACCAAGGAGUCUAACAUCUAUGCGAGUGUUCGGGUGUCAAACCCCUACGCGUAAUGAAAGUGAACGGAGGUGGGAGCUUCGGCGCACCAUCGACCGAUCCUGAUGUCCUCGGAUGGAUUUGAGUAAGAGCAUAGCUGUUGGGACCCGAAAGAUGGUGAACUAUGCCUGAAUAGGGUGAAGCCAGAGGAAACUCUGGUGGAGGCUCGCAGCGGUUCUGACGUGCAAAUCGAUCGUCAAAUUUGGGUAUAGGGGCGAAAGACUAAUCGAACCAU
rnacentral:rRNA from 1 species